GCGUCUGUAGCUCAGCAAGGUAGAGCGCCUAUCGAUUUAGAUAGGAGGUCGCUGGUUCGAUUCCAGCCAGACAAA
rnacentral:tRNA from 3 species